AUCCACCCAAGACCCGGUUCUCCGAUUCCCAUCCUCAAGACCGGGGAGAAAAGAGGAGUAAAUUUUCCUAUUAUAGCCUUCUCUCGCACCUUCCCCGCUUCCCCCCAGCCGCCUCCACUGUCCUCACCGUCCCCAUCCUCAUCCAUGGCGAAAUCUUCGCCCCCAGCCUCGUGAAGAUCUAGCACGUCCGCCAUCUCGCCUUCGAUCGAGAUCUCGUCUGUGCCGCUCAGACACUAGAUGCUGUUGACUGGGGCAAAGAAUAAUGGGAGAAAAACAGCUGAGUCCUAAAUAACAGAGGGAAACCAACUUUCAAUAAAGUAUUCAACAACUAACCCACAAAGCAGAUAACUGAACUUGCUGGCCUGCUCUAUAGUGCUGUUGCUUAAAAAGUCAUCUGUGAAGAAAACCAGUGGGAGAAAUUUCACCUGCCAAAAUGGAUAAAGAGAUGGGAAAAGUGAGGCCCAGAGAUUUGCCCCAUUGAUAUUUAGAAGAAUGACUGUGCUUGCAGCAAGAAAUAUUGAGGGAUGAGGUACUAUCUUCACUCAGAUAAAGAACACGCUUUCUUCAACUUGUUGUAAAAUGGCAAGUUCCCCAAGCUGUGGGUUCCAUAAGUGUUCCUCUGUUGUGAAGCAACCCAUGGCCUAUGCAAGUAUCUACGAGUCCUCUGCAUUGGACUUGGGAGGAGGCAAGGAGAACUAAUAUAAACAUGAUGCUCAUGCUACUUGCUGUGCUAUGAAUAAUAAAUUCCUUU
rnacentral:antisense_RNA from 1 species